rnacentral:tRNA from 1 species
GCCCAAAUGGCGGAAUUGGUAGACGCACUAGUUUCAGGGACUAGCGGUCGCAAGGCUGUGCAGGUUCGAGUCCUGUUUUGGGCAC